rnacentral:rRNA from 1 species
UACGUAGGGGGCAAGCGUUGUCCGGAUUUAUUGGGCGUAAAGAGCGUGUAGGCGGUCAGGUAGGUCGGUUGUGAAAACUGGAGGCUCAACCUUCAGAGGUCGACCCGAAACCCCCUGGCUAGAGUCCGGGAGAGGAGAGUGGAAUUCCUGGUGUAGCGGUGAAAUGCGCAGAUAUCAGGAAGAACACCCGUGGCGAAAGCGGCUCUCUGGAACGGUACUGACGCUGAGACGCGAAAGCGUGGGGAGCGAACAGG